AAAGGCCGAACUUUCGGCACCAAAGUUUGACAUUAAUGAAAUGGCUAAUAAAAUAAAUGUUUUGUAUUUUGUUAACUCAAGGCCUUACAAACCGAAAGUGAAAAUUUGUCAAAAACUUUAAAAACCAAUUCGGAGACUCACGCUUCCCUUGAAAUGGAAAAACAGAAAAACGAAGAAAUAUUAAAAGAAACCAAAGAAGAAAAAAAACGCAUGUUGAUAAAAAUAAGUGACCUUGAAUCACAAAUCAUGUCGAUGACAGAGCACGGGCAGUGCAGGGAUGCAGAAUUUGAGUCGUUAAAAAUAGACUUGGAAAACGAAUUUGAAAAAGAACAGGAGAUGCAGGAUACAAUUAAGGAUCUUUCCGAGAAAGUUUGAUGCUUUAUCUAUUUAAGGUUAAAUUAUAUGAAGAUGAAAUCAAACAACAACAAAAAAAUAUUGAUUCAAAAAAUGAAAAAAUAAAAAUGAAUGAAGCCAGAUUACAGCAAUAUGAAGACAUGGAGGAAAACCAUGACUCUAGUUUUAAAAAUAAACAAAUAGAGUCUCUGCGGAUGGAGAUUAAAACACUGAGAGAAGAUCUGAUAAAAGCAAAUCUUGAAAUUGAGAAAAGAAAUGACUGCGAAGAAAAACUGAUGAAUAACUGCAAUUCAAUAAUUCGCGAAAAAGUAGAAAUAACCCAACAACUUUUUGAACUGAAUCAACAAAUUAUUCACGUUAGUUUAACCACUUGAUUUUGCAGGAUAAGGAAACUAAUCAAUCAUGUACAAAUGUUCAAAAAACAUGUUCAGACAAUAAAAUUCAAGAACUGAUAGCACAAAUCGACGAACUAAAAAAUAACAAUUCGAUACAAAUCAAAAAUUGUGAAGAAUUAAACAAAAAAUUCGCAAACUCAGAAAAGAAAAUAAAAAAGAAGGAUUUGAACCUCAAAACUCAGAAAAACCACGUGAAAGAACUUGGGAAUUUGAUAAACAGUCUCGAAAACACACUCUCCACUUUAAGGAGGGACAAAACCCUUUUAUGUGAGAAUGUGAGAGAUCUGCAGUCUGAGGUUGGACAUUAAAUUGAUUCAGGUGUCUCUGAAAUCUGAAAAGAUUAAAGAGAUGCAAGAACAAAUUAACAAAUUAGAGAAUGAAGUUAAUUCUAAGCAAAAUGAUGUUCUAAAAUCACACAAACUUAAAGAAUUGGCAUAUUUGGCUAAUAAAUUAAAGGAG